rnacentral:rRNA from 2 species
GACCGAUAGUGAACCAGUACCGUGAGGGAAAGGCGAAAAGAACCCCGGCGAGGGGAGUGAAAAAGAACCUGAAACCGUGUACGUACAAGCAGUGGGAGCACAGGUUUACCUGUGUGACUGCGUACCUUUUGUAUAAUGGGUCAGCGACUUAUAUUCUGUAGCAAGGUUAACCGUAUAGGGGAGCCGGAGGGAAACCGAGUCUUAAUUGGGCGUUAAGUUGCAGGGUAUAGACCCGAAACCCGGUGAUCUAGCCAUGGGCAGGUUGAAGGUUGGGUAACACUAACUGGAGGACCGAACCGACUAAUGUUGAAAAAUUAGCGGAUGAUCUGUGGCUGGGGGUGAAAGGCCAAUCAAACCGGGAGAUAGCUGGUUCUCCCCGAAAGCUAUUUAGGUAGCGCCUCGUGAAUUCAUCUCCGGGGGUAGAGCACUGUUUCGGCUAGGGGGCCAUCCCGGCUUACCAACCCGAUGCAAACUGCGAAUACCGGAGAAUGUUAUCACGGGAGACACACGGCGGGUGCUAACGUCCGUCGUGAAGAGGGAAACAACCCAGACCGCCAGCUAAGGUCCCAAAGUCAUGGUUAAGUGGGAAACGAUGUGGGAAGGCCCAGACAGCCAGGAUGUUGGCUUAGAAGCAGCCAUCAUUUAAAGAAAGCGUAAUAGCUCACUGGUCGAGUCGGCCUGCGCGGAAGAUGUAACGGGGCUAAACCAUGCACCGAAGCUGCGGCAGCGAACGUAUCACCCAAGACAACUUUACGGAGUUGACGAUUGACGGAGCGAAGCGACGUCAAAGCGUUCAUUAAAGUCGAGUUGGCUUAGGGAUACGUUCGUUGGGUAGGGGAGCGUUCUGUAAGCCUGUGAAGGUGUGUCGUGAGGCAUGCUGGAGGUAUCAGAAGUGCGAAUGCUGACAUAAGUAACGAUAAAGCGGGUGAAAAGCCCGCUCGCCGGAAGACCAAGGGUUCCUGUCCAACGUUAAU